CUUCUGUCCUUUAUACCCACCUGACAUUGUACAGUUUCCAAGGCAUGUCCACAUAUCUCAUUCCGUUUGAUCCUCAUCACCAUCUGUGAAGUAUGAACCGUUAUUCCUGUUUACAACAGAGGAAACCUAACCUCCGAGAAUUUAAGUGACUUGCUCAAGGUGACACAACUGACCAGGCGCAGGGAGGGACAGAGAUGAACCAGAUGAGUCCCCCCUCCUCUGGAGCUCUCAGUCAAGGUGGGAUGACCAUGUGCACACCAACCCCCCACUGACAUCCGCUCCAGGGGCUCCGCUGCAGCCUGAAUGCCGCCUCCUCAAAAAGACCCUCCCGGCUGCCCGCCUAGAGAAGCUGUACUCCGUUACUUCAGUCCAUGUCUUUGCAGUAAUCCCGGGAGGUCCGAAUUACUGUUCCCAUUUUUACGAUGAGCCUGUGAACACUCAGGAUGUGAGUUUUCCCGAGUGUAUCAGCCAUUAAAUGGCAGAACUCGAGCUCUGGUUCCCGUCUGCCCAGGCUGUCUCCCCUGGCUGAUGAGCGUUCCCGUGCCUGCAGGAGACAGGAAUGACGCCGUGGUGCCCACCUCAGAGGCCCGGGGGUAAGGAGAGAACUCCCCGUCACUCCUCUCUUGUCCACACUUGCGGCUGUCUCUGGAGACAGAGUUUCUGAUGUGGGGGAGGAGCCAGAGGGUGGGGACAGUGAGAAGAGCCUCGUGGAGGAGGGGAGGACAGGAAGAGACCCUGUAAAUUGUUUCUGGAUGCGACUUUCC
rnacentral:lncRNA from 1 species